CCAGUCGGCUGGACGGUCGCGAGUGCGCAAGCAUUCGAGGAAAGUCCGGGCUCCACGCGGAUACGGCGGCGGGUAACGCCCGCCGGAAGCAAUUCUAGGGAUAGCGCCACAGAGAACAGACCACCUCGCAAGAGGUAAGGGUGAAACGGUGGUGUAAG
rnacentral:RNase_P_RNA from 1 species